GGAAGUGUUGAGAAUAGGCUCGCUGAGCGCAAGCUCCGCCCGUGCCACCGCCCGUGCUCCUCGUUAGCAAGCAUCCGCUUCCGGUUCUGAAGCCGAAUUGGCUGGGAGCCGAGCCGCCGCUGAAGGAGGCCUGUUUGCCGGGCUUUGCCUGAAAUGGACAGCCGGAUUCCUUAUGAUGACUACCCAGUGGUGUUCCUGCCUGCCUAUGAGAAUCCUCCAGCAUGGAUUCCUCCUCAUGAGAGAGUGUACCACCCAGACUACAACAAUGAGUUGACCCAGUUUCUACCACGAAUUGUCACACUGAAGAAGCCUCCUGGUGCUCAGUUGGGAUUUAACAUCCGAGGAGGAAAGGCCUCCCAGCUAGGAAUCUUCAUAUCCAAGGUGAUUCCAGACUCUGAUGCCCAUCGAGCAGGCCUUCAAGAAGGGGACCAGGUUCUAGCCGUUAACGAUGUGGAUUUCCAAGACAUUGAGCACAGCAAAGCUGUUGAAAUCCUGAAGACAGCACGAGAAAUCAGCAUGCGCGUGCGCUUCUUUCCCUACAAUUAUCAUCGCCAAAAAGAGAGGACUGUGCACUAAAGACUUGCAGCUCACAACUCUCCAUGUGGAAUCUGCCAGGGCAAGCUGGCUAGCCCUCCGAGAAGCCAGUCAUGACAUUCUACUCUCAGCACCUUCCUGGCUUAGUGAAUAGGGAGGAUGGGGAGACAGCAUACCAGCUGUGUUAUAUAUAAACUGUAUUGUAGUGGGAAUUCCCUAGUUUGCUAGGAGGUGCUACUACAAUGAAAGCCCAAAAUUUGACUUAACUAAAAUCCUACGUCGAGCCAUCAAGAUGGCUCUGAAAGGAUGCCUUCUUCCAAGCCUGACAAUCUGAGUUUGAGCUCCAGGACCCACAUGAUGGAAGGAGAGAACCGAUUCACAGAGUUGUCUGUUGUCCUCUAGCACGCAAGCACACACAAGGAUCCUGGGGAGCUGAACUGAGUCUCUUAAUUCCUUCUGGAAAAGUGAUUCUUUUGGUUUGAGGGUCAACCUAGGAAUCUAUCUUAUCUAAUUAUGUAUUUAUUUUGGUUUUUCAGGACAGGGUUUCCCUGUGUAGCCUUGGCUGUCCUGUACUCACUUUGUAGACCAGGCUGGCCUCAAAAUCACAGUGAUCUGCCUCUGCCUCCCGAGUGCUGGAAUCAAAGGCAUGCACCACUCCACUGUACCUGGCUGAAUUUACCUUAUUAAAUUAGCAAGAGAAAAUAAAUU